AGGCACUGUUCUAGGCAUGAGAAUAUAGCCGUGAGCAAAACAGGAGAACCCUCGUCUUCACGAAGCUCACCACUGGCGGGCAACAGAAAACUAACAAGUGGAAGAGGUCGUGUAUACAGUCACUGUUAACUGAGGCGGAGAAGACAGCUGGAGGAACUACUUGGAGGAGAGGGAAGAGAUACCAGGAACUCGGUUUCCAAAGUGCAGAGUUCAACGUGCCAAUCACACAAGACAACCAGGGAUGUCAACUAGGCAGCUGGCCAGACCAGCGUGCAGUCCAGGCAAGACGUCUGGGCUAAGGCAUAACGCUGGGACUCAUCGGAAACACGGGCAUGUAAAGCCAUGAUACCAGCAAAACAGGAAAUACAUUCAUCUCUGAGAGAGGGAAGAAAGAUGUUAAAUGAGAAGGUGGAAAAGAGUCACCUGGAAGACUCAGAGUGACCAGCCCAGGAGGACACGGCAUGACUGUCAGGCGGUAUUCAAGGUCACUGGGGUUGGUGAUUAUGAAUCCACAGUCUACAAUUCCAACGCCACUGCCAGCGCCAUCCUAUGGGAGCCGGCAGCCACAGGCACCUUGGGCUGAAGCCUUCACAAACCUGGUUCACACACUCAUUUCUCGUGUUGACUUCAAGCUCAUCUAA